UACGAAGGGGGCUAGCGUUGCUCGGAAUCACUGGGCGUAAAGGGUGCGUAGGCGGGUCUUUAAGUCAGACGUGAAAUCCCUCGGCUCAACCGGGGAACUGCGUCUGAGACUGGAAGGCUUGAAUCCGGGAGAGGGAUGUGGAAUUCCAGGUGUAGCGGUGAAAUGCGUAGAUAUCUGGAGGAACACCGGUGGCGAAGGCGGCAUCCUGGACCGGUAUUGACGCUGAGGCGCGAAAGCCAGGGGAGCAAACGGG
rnacentral:rRNA from 1 species